GACCCCGCACAAGCGGCGGAGCAUGCGGCUUAAUUCGAUGAUACCCGUAGAACCUUACCUGGACUUGACAUAUAGGGAAAAACUAAAGAAAUUUAGUGUGGCGUAAGCGCCCUAUACAGGUGGUGCAUGGCUGUCGUCAGCUCGUGUCGUGAGAUGUUGGUUAAGUCCCGCAACGAGCGCAACCCCUGUCCUAUGUUGCCAGCAAGUAAUGUUGGGGACUCAUAGGAGACUGCCGGUGAUAAACCGAGGAAGUGGGACGACGUCAAGUCAUCAUGCCCUUAUGUCCAGGGCUGCACGCAUGCUACAAUGGCGCAUACAGAGGGCAGCAAAGCUAGCGAUAGUGAG
rnacentral:rRNA from 1 species